CAGUAAUAUGCUGUAGACCUGGUGUCUUGGAUAAAACCAUGGAGUAUAUUCUCCGUGUGGCCUGCAAGGGAAUCCAGCACCGCCCAACCUUGUAAAUCUAAAAACGUUACCUCGGCAGGUUUGCUUGCCGGUGGAUAUAUUAGUUAAACUCUUUUAAAUAUAACUGUAAUCAGUAGUACUGUCUGAAAAUUUAUUAAAUAUUA
rnacentral:misc_RNA from 1 species